AUACGUAGGGGGCGAGCGUUGUCCGGAAUGAUUGGGCGUAAAGGGCGCGUAGGCGGCCCGGUAAGUCUGGAGUGAAAGUCCUGUUUUUAAGAUGGGAAUUGCUUUGGAUACUGUCGGGCUUGAGUGCAGGAGAGGUAAGUGGAAUUCCCAGUGUAGCGGUGAAAUGCGUAGAGAUUGGGAGGAACACCAGUGGCGAAGGCGACUUACUGGACUGUAACUGACGCUGAGGCGCGAAAGUGUGGGGAGCAAACAGGAUUAGAUACCCUGGUAGUCCACACUGUAAACGAUGAAUGCUAGGUGUAGGGGGUAUCGCCCCCUUCUGUGCCGCAGUCAACACAAUAAGCAGUUCCGCCUGGGGAGUUCGGCCGCAAGGUUGAAACUCAAAUGAAUUGUCGGUG
rnacentral:rRNA from 1 species